GCACGUGUAGGAAAUAACUCCCUGCGAGGCGUUCGGGUCGCCCUAGAGAGCUGAGAGUGGUGGGAGUCAUUGGGCUAGUGACAAAAGGCUAAACAAAGUCAGCUGCUUAUAUUUACCAAAGAGGGAAAAUAGGAAGAAAAGGGAGGCAAGGUGAGAGCAGAGGAUGCAUCUUGGUCAAGCCCAGAAAUAGAGCCAGUUCCUCAAGUCUUUGAGUCUGUAGCCUGGGAGACUGAGUUGGUGAUCUAACUCUGACAACGUGCAUAUGAAAGCCCAGUCCAUGCUGCAAGACUGUGAACAAUCAGAGGCCCAGUGGUUGCUCCUAAUAAUAUUGGUUUAUUUCAGUGGUCAUUCAAAGACAUGAGAGCUACUUUAGAACAAAAGUCUCCAGAAGUUUCCCUUGCAGCAAAGACCAAGCCUACAGCCUGGAAAGUUAAAAUUAAAGAAGGUAAAAUCAAUGUUUAUUUCAGAGUUCUUGUAGCAUCUUAUGUGUAGUUUUCGCUUAUGUGUAGCUUCCAC